UGGUGCCAAAUACUUGGCUCCAAAUAAAAAUUCAAUAGUCAUUUGAUUUUUAAAUGCAUUUCAGAGGUGGGGGCUUGCGGCAGUAGUGGAGAUGGGAAGGCUCUUGGAGCGACUCAGAGAGGGGACUGGGGCAGGUUUGGUUGAUUGGGACUGCUGCUUGUGAGAAUUUGAGGUGCCAAGUCUACCAUCUAUUCAUGGAAAAUGACUAGGAUCUCUAGGCAAUGCUAGUCGUUGCAAGAGGGCCUUUGGUGACGUUUUAGAGCCGCCUCUGCUGCCUUUACUCAUCCCUAGCCCAGUACUCCGAAGUUUCUCUCUUCGAAGAUGAAUUUCAACAUUGCGAACCCUACUAUGGGGUGCCAAAAGAAACUUGAAAUCAAUGAUGACCAGAAACUUCGAGCAUUUUUUGACAAGAGGAUUUCACAGGAAGUCAGUGGAGAUUCUCUCGGAGAAGAAUUUAGGGGCUAUGUUUUCAAAAUCAAGGGAGGCUGGGACAAGCAAAGGUUCCAAAUGAAGCAAGGAGUGUUAACUCCAGGCCGUUUCGUCUCUUGCUUUAGAGAGGCACUCCUUGCUUCCGUGGGUAUGUUAGGCGCAAUGGAGAGCGGAGGAGGAAGGUAGUGCGUGGAUACAUUGUCAGCCAAGAGCUUUAUGUUCUGAACUUGGUUGCUGUGAAAAAGGGUGAGAAUGAUCUUCUUGGUCUGACAAGACCUUUCUGUUCUGAACUUGGUUAUUGGAAAUUAGAUAGUCUAAAUGUAUUUAGAAAAUUUAGAAAUUAUGUAUUACGUGGAGAAUGACCCGUUUAGGCCUUACUUUUUCUUAGUUGUUUUUCUUUUUUCUUGAUAGCAAAAGGAAGAUGCCGAUAAUACUUUUUAUUAGUUUAGAAAGAUUUUUUUAGAAUUUUUUUAGUUCAGAAAGAGUUUAAAUAAAUAAAAUUGUUUCUGUUUAUGGGUGCCUA